rnacentral:rRNA from 1 species
AGGAUGAACGCUGGCGGCGUGCCUAAUACAUGCAAGUCGAGCGGUAAGGCCCCUUCGGGGGUACACGAGCGGCGGACGGCUGAGUAACACGUAGGAACGUACCCCAAACUGAGGGAUAAGCACCAGAAAUGGUGUCUAAUACCGCAUGUGGUCUUCGGAUUAAAGCUUCGGCGGUUUGGGAACGGCCUGCGCAUGAUUAGCUUGUUGGUGAGGUAAAAGCUUACCAAGGCGACGAUCAUUAGCUGGUCUGAGAGGAUGAUCAGCCAGACUGGGACUGAGAACGGCCCAGACUCCUACGGGAGGCAGCAGUAGGGAAUUUUCCACAAUGGGCGAAAGCCUGAUCCAGCCAUGCCGCGUGAGUGAUGAAGGCCUUAGGGUUGUAAAGCUCUUUCACCCACGACGAUAAUGACGGUAGUGGGAGAAGAAGCCCUGGCUAACUUCGCGCCAGCAGCCGC